rnacentral:lncRNA from 1 species
GAUGCUAAGUAUGUUUUAUGUAUAUAAUGCAUUUAAUUUGUAAUACCUCAAUUUUACCCGACUUAUAUAAAACAGUCCUUUUACAACUAAAUGGGCCCAAAACCCAAACCCAAUUAUGGUGAAAUAGGCCUAAAAUGAAUGACCCGAACCCAAAGCCCAAUUACAGUUUAGCCCGAAUGGUGAGAAUAGUUUCUGGAACCCUAGCAACAGCAACAUCUCGCGCCGCAAGCCACGAGCAUCCUCGGUCUUCACCUG